UUUUAUUGAGUCUUCUAGGGUUUUCAUUGUUAUUAAGAAUAUUCAGGAUAGUAUUAGUGACAUCAAGACCCACAAUGCUCUAAUAGUUAUGAUAGAAAAGGCUGGCAUGCCACCUGGACCAGGAUAAGCCAAGCCUUUGAGUUGAGUCAUAACUUUAUAUACCUCUUCAGCGAAGAAAAGGGCAUUUAGGCCAAUUUCCAUAUUAUUGUUGAGCUUGUUUUUCAAAAUAUUGUCAAUCUCUUGGGAUUGGGUGAGCUUAGAAAACUUUAGUUUCUCCUUGUAGAAUCGAAUGAAAGUGUCUUAGAUCUCUUCUUCUUUGAAGGUUUGUAGGGGUAAAGAUAUAAUUGGUUUAUGUGCUGGUAACAACAUGCUCCAUUAGUUUCGACAAGGUAAGGUUCAUAUGGCUAGGUGUGGAAUGACUAAAUUUUUUCAUGGAAGAUGAAGAAGGCGAACGAACGAGGGAGGCUAAAAGCUAAUAAAGAUGAAUGUGAUAUAGGAUGCUACCUAUAUUUGUUGGGGAUUCAAAUUUGCAUAAGAAACCAACUCAAUUAUAUUGUAACAACAAAUAUGUAUAAAAUCAUUGUAACUAACAGAGCAUUAUAUCUUAGAGAGAGAAGGUAUGCCUUCUCUCUAGAAUAGAAAACCCUAAUCUGCUCCA